GAUGAACGCUGGCGGCGUGCCUAAUACAUGCAAGUCGAGCGAACAGACGAGGAGCUUGCUCCUCAGACGUUAGCGGCGGACGGGUGAGUAACACGUGGAUAACCUACCUAUAAGACUGGGAUAACUUCGUGAAACCGGAGCUAAUACCGGAUAAUAUAUUUAACCGCAUGGUUCAAUAGUGAAAGACGGUUUUGCUGUCACUUAUAGAUGGAUCCGCGCCGCAUUAGCUAGUUGGUAAGGUAACGGCUUACCAAGGCAACGAUGCGUAGCCGACCUGAGAGAGUGAUCGGCCACACUGGAACUGAGACACGGUCCAGACUCCUCCGGGAGGCAGCAGUAGGGAAUCUUCCGCAAUGGGCGAAAGCCUGACGGAGCAACGCCGCGUGAGUGAUGAAGGUCUUCGGAUCGUAAAACUCUGUUAUUAGGGAAGAACAAAUGUGUAAGUAACUAUGCACGUCUUGACGGUACCUAAUCAGAAAGCCACGGCUAACUACGUG
rnacentral:rRNA from 1 species